UACGUAGGGAGCAAGCGUUGUCCGGAAUCAUUGGGCGUAAAGCGCGCGUAGGUGGCUUCGUAAGUCCGUUGUGAAAGUCAAAGGCUCAACCUUUGAAUGCCGAUGGAUACUGCGGAGCUAGAGUACGGAAGAGGCGAGCGGAAUUCCUGGUGUAGCGGUGGAAUGCGCAGAUAUCAGGAGGAACACCAAUAGCGAAGGCAGCUCGCUGGGACGUUACUGACGCUGAGACGCGAAAGCGUGGGGAGCAAACAGG
rnacentral:rRNA from 1 species